rnacentral:lncRNA from 1 species
GCACCACUGCACUGCAGCCUGGGUGACAGUGUGAGACCUUGUCUGAAAAAAAAAAAGGAAAGAAAUGACCAUUUCACUUCCUGGAGAGAGCUGCUAUGGCUUGAAUAAAAUCUAGUAGGGGCCUAAGACAGCUCCCGGGUGGGCCCAAGUCCCUGAAGUCUGGAAGUCUGGGUUUGGAGAAGCGAUGAGGGAUGGGCUGGGGAAAGCGUAAUAAUCCACCCCCACGGUUGCCCCUGACAACAGCAAACUCUAGACCGGGGUGGGAGACUGUCUCUGCUCUCAUCAGCUGUGGGCCUUGAGCCAGGGGUCCCUCUCACUCCUACAUAUACUUCCGUGCCUACAAAAUGAAGGGAUUGAACCAGAUGACCUGACACUCUUUGUUUCCUAAAACAGUGUGAGUCUGUCCAGUGGGACUUUAUCCAGUGUGUUUAGAACUUACAGUGAUGUUUUAUUUAUCAGCAUUGUUGGGAAAGAUGCACAUAAGUAAAUUUUCUCUAUAACAGAAAUUUACCCAUUGAAUCUCUAUCUUUCAGUUUGGAAACCUUUCCUAAAUGCUCGUGCACUUAACUUUCUUGGUUCCUUCAGAGGUGAAUAAAUACAGUGGAUGUUUCCCUGUUUCCUUGUGGUCCUCACUACCUGAUGGUGACUUAUGAGACAAGAUGGGUCUGUUUUUAACUGCCCCUAAGUGGGGUGUGAAAUUUUCACCCACACCCACCUCUCCACAAAAACACACCUCUGAGUUCUCUACGUUUACCCCUCACUCGGGAAAUGGAAAUUGCUUUGAUUUAUCCUGAGCCCACCUUCUGAAAAAGCUGCUUUUUCCUGUUGUCUAGGAUUGGUGAGUAAACCCAUGCCCAGCCCCAAGCCCCUUCUUCAUGUCUUGAGGAACCUAAACCUCCCGAGUGAAAAGAAGUCACAGAGGUCCAUCGCUCCCCAGAUCCCAAUUGAGGGCAGCUUGGUUCAGUGCCAACCCCGUGUGCUUCCUGCGCCCUUGAUCAUGGCCAAGGUGCACCACAAAAACAGAGUUGUGUGUGUCUUGCUGCCCGAUCUCCUGCUAAACGUGCAGGUCCCAACAUGUGUUUCAGGAACAAAUUGUUCCACAGGAUUGAGCAGCUGCUAGGUCACUGAAGGGUCCCAGGAUCAAAUGUAUCUAAGAAGUGCAUGGAAACAUUAUAAAGUUGAAAAAGUUAAACAAGGUUUUUGUUUUGUUUUGUUUUGUUUCCUGCCAACUUCUCCAGGUUUGCAACCUUUCCAAGUCUUUUGCAUACUGUAUGAGUGGUGAAUCUUCGAGUUAGAGGUGGUAUUACAUACAGGAUUUCUCCAACUUACUUAGCCAGGGAACCCAAACACCCCUUGAAAAUGCCAUCUUACUAUGUAGCUAUCUCCCUUCACCUCCCAGCUGUAAUCCCAAAUAAACAUGUAACCUUCAGUAA